rnacentral:tRNA from 1 species
GGCACGUUGGUCAAGCGGUAAGACAUCGCACUUUCUAUGCGAAAUCAGGGGUUCGACUCCCCUACGUGUCACCA